rnacentral:rRNA from 1 species
CCUACGGGCGGCAGCAGUGGGGAAUAUUGCGCAAUGGGCGAAAGCCUGACGCAGCGACGCCGCGUGAGGGAUGAAGGUCUUCGGAUCGUAAACCUCUGUCAGCAGGGAAGAACGGUCACUGUGCUAAUCAGCAGUGAAUUGACGGUACCUGCAAAGGAAGCACCGGCUAACUCCGGGCCAGCAGCCGCGGUAAUACGGAGGGUGCGAGCGUUAAUCGGAAUUACUGGGCGUAAAGCGCACGUAGGCGGUAUGUCAAGUCAAGGGUGAAAUCCCCGGGCUCAACGUGGGAACUGCCUUUGAAACUGGCAGACUAGAGUGUGGGAGAGGAAAGUGGAAUGCCAGGUGUAGGAGUGAAAUGCGUAGAUAUCUGGAGGAACAUCGGUGGCGAAGGCGACUAACUGGCACACAACUGACGCUGAGGAGCGAAAGCGUGGGUAGCAAACAGGAUUAGAUACCCCUGUAGUC